rnacentral:rRNA from 1 species
AGCGAACGCUGGCGGCAGGCUUAACACAUGCAAGUCGAACGGCAGCACAGUAAGAGCUUGCUCUUACGGGUGGCGAGAGGCGGACGGGUGAGGAAUAUAUCGGAACCUACUCUUUCGUGGGGGAUAACGUAGGGAAACUUACGCCAAUAUCGCAUACGACGCACGGGUGAAAGCAGGGGAUCUUUGGACCUUGUGCGAUUGAACGAGCCGAUGUUGGAGUAGUUAGUUGGCGGGGUAAAGGCCCACCAAGGCGACGAUCCGUAGCUGGACUGAGAGGAUGGUCGGCCACACUAGAGCUGGGACACGGUCCAGACGCCUGCGGGAGGCCGCAGUGGGCAAUGUUAGGCAGUAGGCGCGAACCUUGUCCAACGGUACCGAGUGGGUGGAAGAGGCCUUCGGGUUGUGAAGCCCUUUUGUUGGGAGAGAAAAGCAGCCGGUUGUUACCCCGCUGUUCUGACGGUACCCGAUAAAUAAGCACCGGCUAACUUCGUG